UACGAAGGGGGCUAGCGUUGCUCGGAAUCACUGGGCGUAAAGGGUGCGUAGGCGGGCCUUUAAGUCAGGGGUGAAAUCCUGGAGCUCAACUCCAGAACUGCCUUUGAUACUGAGGAUCUUGAGUACGGGAGAGGUGAGUGGAACUGCGAGUGUAGAGGUGAAAUACGUAGAUAUCAGGAGGAAUACCGGAGGCGAAGGCGGAUAGCUGGGCCAACACUGACGCUGAGACCCGAAAGCGUGGGGAUCAAACAGG
rnacentral:rRNA from 1 species